CCUACGGGCGGCAGCAGUGGGGAAUAUUGCACAAUGGGGGAAACCCUGAUGCAGCGACGCCGCGUGAGUGAAGAAGUAUUUCGGUAUGUAAAGCUCUAUCAGCAGGGACGAAAAAAUGACGGUACCUGACUAAGAAGCCCCGGCUAACUACGUGCCAGCAGCCACGGUAAUACGUAGGGGGCAAGCGUUAUCCGGAUUUACUGGGUGUAAAGGGAGCGUAGACGGUGAUGUAAGUCAGAUGUGAAAGCCCGGGGCUCAACCCCGGGACUGCAUUUGAAACUAUGUUGCUAGAGUGCAGGAGAGGUAAGUGGAAUUCCUAGUGUAGCGGUGAAAUGCGUAGAUAUUAGGAGGAACACCAGUGGCGAAGGCGGCUUACUGGACUGUAACUGACGUUGAGGCUCGAAAGCGUGGGGAGCAAACAGGAUUAGAUACCCCGGUAGUC
rnacentral:rRNA from 1 species